rnacentral:rRNA from 1 species
AGCGGCGGACGGGUGAGUAAUGUCUGGGAAACUGCCUGAUGGAGGGGGAUAACUACUGGAAACGGUAGCUAAUACCGCAUAACGUCUACGGACCAAAGUGGGGGACCUUCGGGCCUCAUGCCAUCAGAUGUGCCCAGAUGGGAUUAGCUAGUAGGUGGGGUAAUGGCUCACCUAGGCGACGAUCCCUAGCUGGUCUGAGAGGAUGACCAGCCACACUGGAACUGAGACACGGUCCAGACUCCUACGGGAGGCAGCAGUGGGGAAUAUUGCACAAUGGGCGCAAGCCUGAUGCACCCAUGCCGCGUGUGUGAAGAAGGCCUUCGGGUUGUAAAGCACUUUCAGCGAGGAGGAAGGGUUCAGUGUUAAUAGCACUGUGCAUUGACGUUACUCGCAGAAAAAACACCGGCUAACUCCGUGCCAGCAGCCGCGGUAAUACGGAGGGUGCAAGCGUUAAUCGGAAUUACUGGGCGUAAAGCGCACGCAGGCGGUUUGUUAAGUCAGAUGUGAAAUCCCCGCGCUUAAC